rnacentral:tRNA from 1 species
GGCAACGUGGCUGAGUGGUUAUAGCGAUAGACUAGAAAUCUAUUUCCUUCGGGAGCACAGGUUCGAGUCCUGUCGUUGUCG